rnacentral:lncRNA from 1 species
CAGCAGGCAAACCCUUGACCACCAAACCCUGGUCUUCACGACGCUGAUGGCAGCUUGGCUCCCCUCACAGGGUGAAGCUGCUUCUUUUUUCUGAUCUUGGAAGUGGGAGGCGGGCAGAGGCAGGCAGUGUGGAGUGGCGGCUCCUCUGGGUGUGACUGGCCCUGGGCCCUCUCUCUUAGCUGAUGUGCAGCCAGUGCACCAUCGGAGCCCCGGCUCCCCGGCCAACUCUGCCAGGAGCCCGGCCGCUCACUCCUCUGCUCCUGACCUGGCAGAACAGCUCGAGAGGUAGAGGCUGGCAGCAGGGGCCGCGUCCUUGAGCUCCUAGUGCCUGAGAGUCAGCCUUCAGGAGCCUCUAAGCCUUAGUUUCCUGAUCUGUGAAAUGGAGAGGUGAAUGGCCUCUGGCUGAGGGCCACUGUGGGGACCAGAGAUCCCACGUGGUCUGGAGGCCCAGUGGACUGGAGUCAAUAGGAAGAGUUCUGUCUUUUCCUAGACUUGGAACAAAAAGCCCUGAAGGACCUUCACAUCUGGCCCAGUGGUUCCCAAACCAAUACAGCAGGACACCUGGGUUGUUGUGGGAGAACCGUCUUUGUCAUUGUUUUGAGAGCACUUCUAGGUCAUAUCGACUCUGGGAGGAAGGUGCAGAGGUGCCCCACAUGCCCCGCCCCCUACACAUGGGCAGUGCCCGUCACUGCGCUAACCCAGGAGGACAGACCUGCGUCCUGUCUGCAGUGGGCAGCCCGGGGCUUGGGGAGGAGGGAAGGAAUGAAGAACGAGGAAGGAGACGUAGGGAAGGAUGGGCAAUGUAAGUUUAGCCUGAGGUUCCACACACCUUUCCAGGCCUGUCCCUUCCCAAAUUCUGGGACAUCUGCCACUCUUAAAGUCACCACGAACUUAGGCACUCCUGAAGGUUCCCUUGUGCACAGUUAGACAGCCCAUCAGUAGGCAGAAACCUGUAAUUCAGGGGCCUUUCCAGUGUUAUCAACCGAUGGAUAAUGGAGACCUGUGGCUGUGGCGUUCUCUUUGUGAAAUCACAGCAUAAGUCGGCCAUUUUAAGGUGAAUGACUUGGUGG